GCAGCCGCCACGGUAAUACGGAGGGAGCUAGCGUUAUUCGGAAUUACUGGGCGUAAAGCGCACGUAGGCGGCUUUGUAAGUUAGAGGUGAAAGCCUGGAGCUCAACUCCAGAAUUGCCUUUAAGACUGCAUCGCUUGAAUCCAGGAGAGGUGAGUGGAAUUCCGAGUGUAGAGGUGAAAUUCGUAGAUAUUCGGAAGAACACCAGUGGCGAAGGCGGCUCACUGGACUGGUAUUGACGCUGAGGUGCGAAAGCGUGGGGAGCAAACAGGAUUAGAUACCCCAGUAGUCCCUGUCUCUUAUAC
rnacentral:rRNA from 1 species